CCUGUCGGCCNUAGCGCGGUGGUCCCACCUGACCCCAUGCCGAACUCAGAAGUGAAACGCCGUAGCGCCGAUGGUAGUGUGGGGUCUCCCCAUGCGAGAGUAGGGAACUGCCAGGC
rnacentral:rRNA from 1 species